UUCACCAUUCUCUUCUGCAGCAGAAGCUCUUGAAUUGAUUCAGAGGGAGAAAAGUAUGGCUCUAAAUCCUCAACUUUUCUACAAUGGAAUGCCGGUGCCAUUCAUCAACGAGAUGUUCGUCCUGGGUAGAGACGGCGUCGAAUUUGAGAUCGACAAGAUCCCCGGCACUCAAGGUGGGACAGUGAAAUCAAAGGGAACUAUCUACUUGUCAAACAUCCGCAUAGUGUUUGUUGCAAAGAAACCUGUUGGCCAUCUUUUUGCAUUUGAUAUGCCCCUGCUUCAUGUUCAUGGUGAGAAAUUCCACCAGCCAAUUUUCCACUGCAACAACAUUUCUGGUCAAGUGGAACCUGUUGUGCCCGAUACUGAGCAUAUGGCUCUUUACUCGACUCAUUCUUUCAAGAUUCCGUUCAAGGACGGCGGCUGUGGAACAUUCGUCCCACUCUUCUUCAACUUGAUCGGUUCUGUCAGACAAUAUAACCAGCAUCUUGCAGCACAGCCUCGAGUGGAUCCUCUCCUAGCAGCCCAAACUCCUGUAGACGAGAUGAUGAGACACGCAUACGUUGAUCCUAGUGACCCCACUAAAAUUUUCCUGCAGCAGCCAAAUGCAGAGUCUCAGUUGAGGCGCCGCACUUACCAGUCAGAUAGUAGUGAAAAGCCAAUGUAAACCAUUGCUGUUGUUUCCCUCAACUGUACUUGUUGAGGUCAUGUUUGGAAGUUUAUUUCGAAGUUUUUGUAUUGAACAGCAUUUAUAGAAUUGAUGAAGUGACACGGUGCAAGCCUCGUCUCAGCCAGAGCUGGUACGCAGUCAUAUGGAAUGUGUCGUAACUUUGAGGCACAGCAGACCACCUGAAGUGCUUCC